UACGAAGGGGGGCUAGCGUUGUUCGGAUUUACUGGGCGUAAAGCGCACGUAGGCGGUUUGUUAAGUCAGGGGUGAAAUCCCGGAGCUCAACUCCGGAACUGCCUUUGAUACUGGCAAGCUAGAGUCCGGAAGAGGUAAGUGGAACUCCUAGUGUAGAGGUGGAAUUCGUAGAUAUUAGGAAGAACACCAGUGGCGAAGGCGGCUUACUGGUCCGGAACUGACGCUGAGGUGCGAAAGCGUGGGGAGCAAACAGG
rnacentral:rRNA from 1 species